GGAAAUGUGGCUUAGUGGUAGAGUGCUUGCCUAGUAUGCAUGAAGCCCUGGGUUCGAUUCCUCAGUACCA
rnacentral:tRNA from 1 species